GUGCUUAACACAUGCAAGUCGAACGGAAAGGCCCUUCGGGGUACUCGAGUGGCGAACGGGUGAGUAACACGUGGGUGAUCUGCCCUGCACUUUGGGAUAAGCCUGGGAAACUGGGUCUAAUACCGAAUACACCCUGCUGGUCGCAUGGCCUGGUGGGGGAAAGCUUUUGCGGUGUGGGAUGGGCCCGCGGCCUAUCAGCUUGUUGGUGGGGUGAUGGCCUACCAAGGCGACGACGGGUAGCCGGCCUGAGAGGGUGACCGGCCACACUGGGACUGAGAUACGGCCCAGACUCCUACGGGAGGCAGCAGUGGGGAAUAUUGCACAAUGGGCGCAAGCCUGAUGCAGCGACGCCGCGUGGGGGAUGACGGCCUUCGGGUUGUAAACCCCUUUCGCCAGGGACGAAGAGAGAUUGACGGUACCUGGAGAAGAAGGACCGGCCAACUACGUGCCAGCAGCCGCGGUAAUACGUAGGGUCCGAGCGUUGUCCGGAAUUACUGGGCGUAAAGAGCUCGUAGGUGGUUUGUCGCGUUGUUCGUGAAAUC
rnacentral:rRNA from 1 species